rnacentral:lncRNA from 1 species
GGGCUCUCAUUCUUACAUUCCUGUCUCUAUCCCGUGAAGUCAUCAGCCAUCUCUUCAAGCAGGGACCUAAGCGAGAAAAUAGUACAAGUUGUUUCUAAGUAGAACUGAUAUAUCACCAACCAUUCAACCUUAAGUCUCUAAAUAAGUGAUAAGUAAACCAGGUGCCAUGGCACAUGCCUGUAAUCCCAGCACCUCGGGAGGCUGAGUUAGGAAGAUCACAAAUUCAAGGCCAACCUCAGCAAUUUAGUGAGACAUAGUUGAAUGGUUGAGCACCCCUGAGUUCAAUUCCCAGUACCAUAAAUAAAUAAAUAGUUGUUGGACUUAAAGCAGAACACUUUUGUUCUGCACAAUCAAAACCAACAGCCUGCCUCUACAAGAGCUCAGCCUGCUUGGGUAUUGCAUCCAUUUAGGUUAAGCAGCACCCAUACUGGAACUAAAGUCUGAAGCAUACAAAUACCAGAAUGUGGAAAAGCAUUUACUUCUGAAUUCAGAAAGCCAAUUUUUGCUGAAUGCGUUGGCUAACACCUCUAAUCCUAGCUGCUCAGGAUGCUGAGGCAGGAGAACUGAAAGUUUAAAAUGAGCCUCAGCAAUUUAGUGAGACCCUGAGCAACUCGGCAAGACCCUGUCUCAAAAUAAAAAAUAAAGGACUGAACCUGUAGCUCAGUAGUAAAGCACUCGCCUAGCAUAUGUUACAGACGGGCUGGGUUCCAUCCUCAGCACCAUAUUAAAUAAAUAAAC